rnacentral:rRNA from 1 species
UACGUAGGGUGCAAGCGUUAAUCGGAAUUACUGGGCGUAAAGCGUGCGCAGGCGGCUUUGCAAGACAGAUGUGAAAUCCCCGGGCUUAACCUGGGAACUGCAUUUGUGACUGCAUGGCUGGAGUGCGGCAGAGGGGGAUGGAAUUCCGCGUGUAGCAGUGAAAUGCGUAGAUAUGCGGAGGAACACCGAUGGCGAAGGCAA